AGAAUGGAACACCCAACCACGGAGCCACGCCAAAUGAGGCUCCGAGCACUCUGAGGGAGGGGUUGCACCUAUCUUUUACACUGUCGACUCCACGUGCCCUGGACAACAUCUGGAACUUAGUAGGUGUGCAGCUGAAUGAGAUGUGUCCCCACCAUCUGACUCCAUCUUCAUCCUUUCCACUGUAGGAAAGACAGCUCAGAGCAGAUCCCUGAUUGAGGGCAGGUGUGGGAAGUGCUUCAUAGCCACUGGGGACCCAAGCCCUGUUUAUCUUGUUGCCCUGCCAUCCUCACCAUCUGGCUUCUACGUCAUGAUCCGCCAUCACUGCUGGAGCUCCAGCUAUGUUGACCGAA